CAAUAGCGUAUAUUAAAGUUGUUGCGGUUAAAAAGCUCGUAGUUGGAUUUCUGCCGAGGACGACCGGUCCGCCCUCCGGGUGAGUAUCUGGCUCGGCCUGGGCAUCUUCUUGGAGAACGUAGCUGCACUUGGCUGUGUGGUGCGGUAUUCAGGACUUUUACUUUGAGGAAAUUAGAGUGUUUCAAGCAGGCACACGCCUUGAAUACAUUAGCAUGGAAUAAUAAGAUAGGACCUCGGUUCUAUUUUGUUGGUUUCUAGAUCUGAGGUAAUGAUUAAUAGGGAUAGUUGGGGGCAUUCGUAUUUAACUGACAGAGGUGAAAUUCUUGGAUUUGUUAAAGACGGACUACUGCGAAAGCAUUUGCCAAGGAUGUUUUCAUUGA
rnacentral:rRNA from 1 species